rnacentral:rRNA from 1 species
UACGUAGGGUGCAAGCGUUAAUCGGAAUUACUGGGCGUAAAGCGUGCGCAGGCGGUUAUGUAAGGCAGAUGUGAAAUGCCCGGGCUUAACCUGGGAACUGCAUUUGUGACUGCAUGGCUAGAGUUUGGCAGAGGGGGGUAGAAUUCCACGUGUAGCAGUGAAAUGCGUAGAUAUGUGGAGGAACACCGAUGGCGAAGGCAGCCCCCUGGGUCAACACUGACGCUCAUGCACGAAAGCGUGGGGAGCAAACAGG